rnacentral:rRNA from 1 species
AUACGUAGGGGGCGAGCGUUGUCCGGAAUUAUUGGGCGUAAAGCGCGCGUAGGCGGUCAUUUAAGUCAGGCGUGAAAAACCUAGGCUCAACCAAGGUAUUGCGUUUGAAACUGGAUGACUUGAGGGCAGGAGAGGAUAGCGGAAUUCCUAGUGUAGCGGUGAAAUGCGUAGAGAUUAGGAGGAACACCAGUGGCGAAGGCGGCUAUCUGGCCUGUACCUGACGCUGAGGUGCGAAAGCUGGGGGAGCGAACGGGAUUAGAUACCCCGGUAGUCCCAGCCGUAAACGAUGGGCACUAGGUGUAGGAGGUAUCGACCCCUUCUGUGCCGUAGCUAACGCAAUAAGUGCCCCGCCUGGGGAGUACGGUCGCAAGACUGAA